rnacentral:rRNA from 1 species
GGUUAAGCGACUAAGCGUACACGGUGGAUGCCCUGGCAGUCAGAGGCGAUGAAGGACGUGCUAAUCUGCGAUAAGCGUCGGUAAGGUGAUAUGAACCGUUAUAACCGGCGAUUUCCGAAUGGGGAAACCCAGUGUGUUUCGACACACUAUCAUUAACUGAAUCCAUAGGUUAAUGAGGCGAACCGGGGGAACUGAAACAUCUAAGUACCCCGAGGAAAAGAAAUCAACCGAGAUUCCCCCAGUAGCGGCGAGCGAACGGGGAGCAGCCCAGAGCCUGAAUCAGUGUGUGUGUUAGUGGAAGCGUCUGGAAAGGCGCGCGAUACAGGGUGACAGCCCCGUACACAAAAAUGCACAUAUUGUGAGCUCGAUGAGUAGGGCGGGACACGUGGUAUCCUGUCUGAAUAUGGGGGGACCAUCCUCCAAGGCUAAAUACUCCUGACUGACCGAUAGUGAACCAGUACCGUGAGGGAAAGGCGAAAAGAACCCCGGCGAGGGGAGUGAAAAAGAACCUGAAACCGUGUACGUACAAGCAGUGGGAGCACGCUUAGGCGUGUGACUGCGUACCUUUUGUAUAAUGGGUCAGCGACUUAUAUUCUGUAGCAAGGUUAACCGAAUAGGGGAGCCGAAGGGAAACCGAGUCUUAACUGGGCGUUAAGUUGCAGGGUAUAGACCCGAAACCCGGUGAUCUAGCCAUGGGCAGGUUGAAGGUUGGGUAACACUAACUGGAGGACCGAACCGACUAAUGUUGAAAAAUUAGCGGAUGACUUGUGGCUGGGGGUGAAAGGCCAAUCAAACCGGGAGAUAGCUGGUUCUCCCCGAAAGCUAUUUAGGUAGCGCCUCGUGAAUUCAUCUCCGGGGGUAGAGCACUGUUUCGGCAAGGGGGUCAUCCCGACUUACCAACCCGAUGCAAACUGCGAAUACCGGAGAAUGUUAUCACGGGAGACACACGGCGGGUGCUAACGUCCGUCGUGAAGAGGGAAACAACCCAGACCGCCAGCUAAGGUCCCAAAGUCAUGGUUAAGUGGGAAACGAUGUGGGAAGGCCCAGACAGCCAGGAUGUUGGCUUAGAAGCAGCCAUCAUUUAAAGAAAGCGUAAUAGCUCACUGGUCGAGUCGGCCUGCGCGGAAGAUGUAACGGGGCUAAACCAUGCACCGAAGCUGCGGCAGCGACGCUGAUGCGUUGUUGGGUAGGGGAGCGUUCUGUAAGCCUGCGAAGGUGUGCUGUGAGGCAUGCUGGAGGUAUCAGAAGUGCGAAUGCUGACAUAAGUAACGAUAAAGCGGGUGAAAAGCCCGCUCGCCGGAAGACCAAGGGUUCCUGUCCAACGUUAAUCGGGGCAGGGUGAGUCGACCCCUAAGGCGAGGCCGAAAGGCGUAGUCGAUGGGAAACAGGUUAAUAUUCCUGUACUUGGUGUUACUGCGAAGGGGGGACGGAGAAGGCUAUGUUGGCCGGGCGACGGUUGUCCCGGUUUAAGCGUGUAGGCUGGUUUUCCAGGCAAAUCCGGAAAAUCAAGGCUGAGGCGUGAUGACGAGGCACUACGGUGCUGAAGCAACAAAUGCCCUGCUUCCAGGAAAAGCCUCUAAGCAUCAGGUAACAUCAAAUCGUACCCCAAACCGACACAGGUGGUCAGGUAGAGAAUACCAAGGCGCUUGAGAGAACUCGGGUGAAGGAACUAGGCAAAAUGGUGCCGUAACUUCGGGAGAAGGCACGCUGAUAUGUAGGUGAAGCGACUUGCUCGUGGAGCUGAAAUCAGUCGAAGAUACCAGCUGGCUGCAACUGUUUAUUAAAAACACAGCACUGUGCAAACACGAAAGUGGACGUAUACGGUGUGACGCCUGCCCGGUGCCGGAAGGUUAAUUGAUGGGGUCAGCGCAAGCGAAGCUCUUGAUCGAAGCCCCGGUAAACGGCGGCCGUAACUAUAACGGUCCUAAGGUAGCGAAAUUCCUUGUCGGGUAAGUUCCGACCUGCACGAAUGGCGUAAUGAUGGCCAGGCUGUCUCCACCCGAGACUCAGUGAAAUUGAACUCGCUGUGAAGAUGCAGUGUACCCGCGGCAAGACGGAAAGACCCCGUGAACCUUUACUAUAGCUUGACACUGAACAUUGAGCCUUGAUGUGUAGGAUAGGUGGGAGGCUUUGAAGUGUGGACGCCAGUCUGCAUGGAGCCGACCUUGAAAUACCACCCUUUAAUGUUUGAUGUUCUAACGUGGACCCGUAAUCCGGGUUGCGGACAGUGUCUGGUGGGUAGUUUGACUGGGGCGGUCUCCUCCUAAAGAGUAACGGAGGAGCACGAAGGUUGGCUAAUCCUGGUCGGACAUCAGGAGGUUAGUGCAAUGGCAUAAGCCAGCUUGACUGCGAGCGUGACGGCGCGAGCAGGUGCGAAAGCAGGUCAUAGUGAUCCGGUGGUUCUGAAUGGAAGGGCCAUCGCUCAACGGAUAAAAGGUACUCCGGGGAUAACAGGCUGAUACCGCCCAAGAGUUCAUAUCGACGGCGGUGUUUGGCACCUCGAUGUCGGCUCAUCACAUCCUGGGGCUGAAGUAGGUCCCAAGGGUAUGGCUGUUCGCCAUUUAAAGUGGUACGCGAGCUGGGUUUAGAACGUCGUGAGACAGUUCGGUCCCUAUCUGCCGUGGGCGCUGGAGAACUGAGGGGGGCUGCUCCUAGUACGAGAGGACCGGAGUGGACGCAUCACUGGUGUUCGGGUUGUCAUGCCAAUGGCACUGCCCGGUAGCUAAAUGCGGAAGAGAUAAGUGCUGAAAGCAUCUAAGCACGAAACUUGCCCCGAGAUGAGUUCUCCCUGACUCCUUGAGAGUCCUGAAGGAACGUUGAAGACGACGACGUUGAUAGGCCGGGUGUGUAAGCGCAGCGAUGCGUUGAGCUAACCGGUACUAAUGAACCGUGAGGCUUAACCUU